CUAGUGACGCCCUGGGGCUCGGGGAGCCGGCGGGAGACGCACGACGCGUUCCGAGGUCGCCCCAGAGCAGAGGGAGGCAAGGGCAUUCCAUGAGACUUCUGAUCGUAUCUCAUUGGCCAGAGCUGAGCCUGACUUCCAGCAGAUCGUUGCCCUGGAGAACCGAGGUUACCUUUGUUGGCUGAUGUUUUGAGCUCCAGAAGGGAGUAAUUUUCCUGAGAUAAAGGACAUUCACAUGCUAUUGGAUCAAAUGGAGCUCUGCUGCCAAGAAGAGAUUAGUAGUUAGAACGACCACCAUUUCAAGGAUGCACCUCAAGAGAGCAGGAGUAAUGAAGACCUGGGAUGCUGAGGGUGACUGAACCCCAGGAAGGCCUCUAUAAACUCUCAAAUGCCACAGGCUGGCAGAGGGGAGGUGAAGACCUGGUUCCUGGGCACCAAAGACCAGCCCUGGAGGAAGUUACCUGCUAGUUAAACCACCACCUGUCCAUCUGGAGUGGCUACCUCUUCCAUCAGUCUUUCCCUGCCCUCUGGGUAUGGAUGGAUUCCACCUGGAAAGCUCCUGAAUCCACAGUGGGUGACACAUGUCAUAAGGAAAACAAUACCAGGAAGUGUAUACUUUGCCAAUGAACCUUGGCUUCCGUUAACACCAGAAACCAGUCAAGCAUUGUCAGCCUGGGACCGGAUUUUUUCAUUCUUGGAGAGAAAUAAAUAAAACACGAUUGCUUGCCCUGCAAGAGAGCGCCUGCCAACUUCCUCUGCAAUAAUUAAGUUUGCAGGCUUCACUAUCAGCCUGACCAGACACUAAUGAGAUGCUAAAGUGUUCAAAGAAGUUUCAUUAACAUUUUAAAGCUUUCCCUGCCCUAGGGAAGCAUCUUGUUUUCAAACAUGGUCUCUGACGGGUAAAGUAAGGCAGAGUGUCUUCUGAUGGAUGGGCUGUCAGAGGAAAUCUAAUGUGACCAGCUGCUUGCUCAGAAAUGGAAAGGAAAUUGAUCAAUAGUAGGACUUGACAUCACCUCUAGGGAGUGUCAGCAGCAUCCAUCCAGUAGCUGCAACUCCUGGAUGCAGUGACUACC